GCCUUCUUAGCUCAGUUGGUAGAGCAGCUGACUCUUAAUCAGCGGGUCGAAGGUUCGAGUCCUUCAGGAGGCA
rnacentral:tRNA from 1 species